AGGGUGGAGGCCGGUCACAAGUGGUGUCCCUCAGGGGUCAAUCUUGGGACCGAUGCUCUUCAACAUCUUCAUCAAUGACAGACGAUGGCAUCGGGUGCACCCUCAGCAAGUUUGCAGAUGACACCAAGCUGAGCGGUGCAGUCAAUACAUUGGAAGGAAGGGAAGCCAUCCAGAGGGACCUGGACAGGCUGGAGAAGCGGGCCUAUGUGAACCUAAUGAGGUUCAAUAAGGCCAAGUGCAGGGUGCUGCACUUGGGUUGGGGCAAUCCCAGGUAUUUAUACAAACUGGGGGAAGAUCUCCUUGAGAGCAGCACUGCGGAGAAGAACUUGGGGUCCUUGUAGAUGAGAACUGGACAUGAGCCAGCAGGGGUGUCCAGCAGGGAGAGGGAGGCUAUUGCGAGGGCCCAUCUGCAGUACUGCAUCCAGGCCUGGGGCCCCCAGUACAGGAACGAUGUGGAGCUGUUGGAAUGGGUCCAGAGGAGGGCCACUGAGAUGAUCAGAGGGCUGGAGCACCUCUCCUGUGAGGAAAGGUUGAGGGAACUGGGCUUGUUUAGCUUGGAGAAGGCUGCAGGGAGACCUCAUUGCAGCCUUCCAGUACUUGAAGGGAGCAUAUAAACAAGAGGGGGAACAGCUGUUUAUGAAGGUGGAUAGUGAUAGGACAAGGGGGACUGGUUUUAAACUGAGACAGGGGAGGUUUAUGUUAGAUAUUAGGAGGAAUUUUUCACCCAGAGGGUGGUGAUGCACUGGAACAGGUUGCCCAAGGAGGUUGUGGAUGCCCCAUCCCUGGAGGCAUUCAAGGCCAGGCUGGAUGUGGCUCUGGGCAGCCUGGUCUGGUGGUUGGCGACCCUGCACAUAGCA
ensembl:lncRNA